AUUGAACGUUGGCGGCAGGCCUAACACAUGCAAGUCGAGCGGAUGACGGGAGCUUGCUCCUUGAUUCAGCGGCGGACGGGUGAGUAAUACCUAGGAAUCUGCCUGAUAGUGGGGGACAACGUUUCGAAAGGAACGCUAAUACCGCAUACGUCCUACGGGAGAAAGCAGGGGACCUUCGGGCCUUGCGCUAUCAGAUGAGCCUAGGUCGGAUUAGCUAGUUGGUGAGGUAAUGGCUAACCAAGGCGACGAUCCGUAACUGGUCUGAGAGGAUGAUCAGUCACACUGGAACUGAGACACGGUCCAGACUCCUACGGGAGGCAGCAGUGGGGAAUAUUGGACAAUGGGCGAAAGCCUGAUCCAGCCAUGCCGCGUGUGUGAAGAAGGUCUUCGGAUUGUAAAGCACUUUAAGUUGGGAGGAAGGGCAGUAAGCUAAUACCUUGCUGUUUUGACGUUACCGACAGAAUAAGCACCGGCUAACUCUGUGCCAGCAGCCGCCGUAACAC
rnacentral:rRNA from 1 species